CCGCGUGGAGGAUGAAGGCUUUCGGGUUGUAAACUCCUGUCAUUUGAGAACAAGUGUAGCUAAGUAACUACUGGCUACUUGAUAGUAUCAGAAGAGGAGGGGACGGCUAACUCUGUGCCAGCAGCCGCGGUAAUACAGAGGUCCCAAGCGUUGUUCGGAUUCAUUGGGCGUAAAGGGUGCGUAGGUGGCGCCGUCAGUGGGGUGUGAAAUUUCGGAGCUUAACUCCGAAACUGCAUUCCAUACUGCGGUGCUUGAGGACUGGAGAGGAGACUGGAAUUCAUGGUGUAGCAGUGAAAUGCGUAGAGAUCAUGAGGAAGACCGGUGGCGAAGGCGGGUCUCUGGACAGUUCCUGACACUGAGGCACGAAGGCUAGGGGAGCGAACGGGAUUAGAUACCCCGGUAGUCCUAGCAAUAAACGGUGCACGUUUGGUGUGAGAGGAUUCGACCCCUUUCGCGCCGGAGCUAACGCGUUAAACGUGCCGCCUGGGGAGUACGGUCGCAAGACUAAAACUCAAAGGAAUUGACGG
rnacentral:rRNA from 1 species